AUCAGCAAUGGGUAACUACACUGAGGUUUACUAUUGCCUUUUAGACACAAACUGUGUCUUUAACAUCAGAGCUUGAAUCAGGGAGGAUCUCCCAACACAUUUAACAACGGGCAGCUGUGACAUAGUGGAAAAGAGCAGAGUUUGGAGUCAGCUAGAUCUGAAUUCUAUUCCUACCAAGCCUUUGACAGUCUUUCUUCCAUAAUAGGGAAGGCAAACACUAAGGUUAGACAUGUAAGGUAAUUGAGUAAAAUUACCUACAUGAAAAAAAACAUUGGUGCAAGCCAGUGGUGUGCUGGAGUCAGCUCUAACUCCUGAGAGCUGAUUGUACAUUUCUCUCCCCAACUCUAUUCAGUGAAGUCACAUUGAUGACUUGAAAUUGGCCAUGGUGGAAGACACUUGUUUUCUAAACAUUUACCCAGUAUACCACUGUUGAAACACAAUGAUAAAUACACCUAAAACCCAGUCUCAAUGCCAGGAGACAAUAGAAAGUAGUGGGGACUGUAGCAAACUAUUUUUAAGGGGCACUCACUAUCUAGGACCAAGCCUUGACAUUCAAGUAAACAAGCCCACUUUUGUCAAUUGUCUGAUUUUUUGCCCCAAAAUCCAGGUUUUUCUGCAUAAUUUUCUUAAAAUUUUCUCAUUUCCUUUUAAAAUACCACACAGUUCAAACAAAGCAUGGCCUCAGUCAUCUUGUAGGCCAGUUAUUUAUCACAUCUACUUUAAAGCAGUUGUCUCCAAGGUAUUUGUUUACUUUUACACUAAAAAAAAGUGCUUGCGCACCUCUCUUUGCUCUUUGAGGCUACUGCUUUAGACUUAGUUCUUUACUUCUUCAAAUCACGGUCCCUUUUGAAAACAUUAAGUUAUAAAUGUUCUGCCUAGACAAAAGUACCUCAGUAUAUUAUGUUUCACACCCUACUAGGGUAGUCAUCCAUUUCUUGAAAUUAAUUCAUAGUCCCCUUAAGCAGCACCUGGGUUGCAAUUAGGGCAUCUGGAUGCUGGAUUCAAGGCUUUGUGUCAUCCCUGAGAGCUUCUCUGGGAUUUCAGCUCCUUUCCUUUAAACAAGUUGUUAGACCAGAUAGUCUCACCGUUCCCAUCUGUCCUAAACUUCUAAUUCUAAUGCAUAGCCUCCCCGGUUCCCCUCCUCAGAACACAAGCCAGCAUGACUGCUCACCAGGUUGUGGAUGCUCUCUUGAUGUUGCAGCCCCCGCCCCCUAGCCUUUUCUACCAACAAGUGGAAAGGGGCAGCUGGGACCUUUUGUCUUGUGCACAGAGAUGGGCAGUCAGUAGUGAGCCUAAUACCUCUGUAUCAGGUAAGGGGUACAGAAAGGCAAACUCUAGCCCUGGCAAGCCAACUGGAGGUAGGGGCCUCCCAGUCUUCCAGCAGGAGGACUGAGUGGAAGUGGCUUUUCCACUCUCCUCUGCAUUGUGCGGCAAGUCCACUGCAUUGUCUGAGGCACUCGCCCAUCCCCACAGGAUGCACUUUUAGGUACGGUAACCUUGCUGUUGAGGAUUGGAGGAAUUCUCUCUAUUCUCUCUGGUGAUGCUUAUCACUAAGACUUCUAGAACUUUCUAAUAAAUGGCAGCUGCUCAAACUAGUGCAAAAAGAUGGCCACUAAGAUAGAUGUACAUUAUUUAAAAAAAAACAAAUUGAAUCACUUGGUUUUUCUUGAUGAAAAUUGUGAAGUGUAGUUUCUAGUGAUUUUCCCCCAAAAUGCCAAAUCAGAAAUUAAGAAGCACUGUUUGUUCAGUGCACUUGGUCUGCUCAAAUGUCUUAAACAGUAUCCAUACCAACAAGACUAAUGGACUGAACAGAUAGUCCUAGGUAUAAUUACUUUGAACAAAGUGGAUUUUUUUUAAAAAA